rnacentral:rRNA from 1 species
UACGGAGGGUGCAAACGUUGCUCGGAAUCAUUGGGCGUAAAGCGCACGUAGGCGGCUCGUUAAGUCGGAUGUGAAAGCCCCGGGCUCAACCCGGGAAGUGCAUUCGAAACUGGCGAGCUUGAAUAUGGAAGAGGGUCGCGGAAUUCCCGGUGUAGAGGUGAAAUUCGUAGAUAUCGGGAGGAACACCAGUGGCGAAGGCGGCGACCUGGGCCAAUAUUGACGCUGAGGUGCGAAAGCGUGGGGAGCAAACAGGG